UACGAAGGGGGCUAGCGUUGCUCGGAAUCACUGGGCGUAAAGCGCACGUAGGCGGAUUGCUAAGUCAGGGGUGAAAUCCUGGAGCUCAACUCCAGAACUGCCUUUGAUACUGGCGAUCUCGAGUCCGGGAGAGGUGAGUGGAACUGCGAGUGUAGAGGUGAAAUUCGUAGAUAUUCGCAAGAACACCAGUGGCGAAGGCGGCUCACUGGCCCGGUACUGACGCUGAGGUGCGAAAAGCGUGGGGAGGCAAACAGG
rnacentral:rRNA from 1 species